GGAUCAUUACCGAGUUUACAACUCCCAAACCCCUGUGAACAUACCUAUCGUUGCUUCGGCGGGAUCGCCCCGGCGCCUUCGGGCCCGGACCCAGGCGCCCGCCGGAGGACCCAAACUCUUGUUUCUAUGAGUAUCUUCUGAGUAACAAGCAAAUAAAUUAAAACUUUCAACAACGGAUCUCUUGGUUCUGGCAUCGAUGAAGAACGCAGCGAAAUGCGAUAAGUAAUGUGAAUUGCAGAAUUCCGUGAAUCAUCGAAUCUUUGAACGCACAUUGCGCCCGCCAGUAUUCUGGCGGGCAUGCCUGUUCGAGCGUCAUUUCAACCCUCAAGCCCCCGGGCUUGGUGUUGGGGCUCGGCCCGUCCCUCGUGGAUGCGCCGUCUCCGAAAUCUAGUGGCGGUCUCGCUGUAGCCUCCUCUGCGUAGUAGCUAACACCUCGCAACGGGAACUCAGCGCGGCCACGCCGUUAAACCCCCCACUUCUGAAGGUUGACCUCGGAUCAGGUAG
rnacentral:rRNA from 1 species